rnacentral:rRNA from 1 species
GACGAACGCUGGCGGCGCGCCUAACACAUGCAAGUCGAACGGAGAUAUCAGACGGGAGUCUUCGGAUGGAAGGCUGAUAUUUUAGUGGCGAACGGGUGAGUAACACGUGAGGAACCUGCCUUUAAGAGAGGGAUAACACUUAGAAAUAGGUGCUAAUACUGCAUAAGACCACACUGCCGCAUGGCAGCGGGGUCAAAGGAGCAAUCCGCUUAGAGAUGGACUCGCGUCUGAGUAGAUAGGUGGUGAGGUAACGGCUCACCAAGUCGACGACCAGUAGACGGACUGAGAGGUUGAACGGCCACAUUGGGACUGAGACACGGCCCAGACUCCUACGGGAGGCGGCAGUGGAGAAUAUUGGGCAAUGGGGGAAACCCUGACCCAGCGACGCCGCGUGAGGGAAGAAGGUUUUCGGAUUGUAAACCUCUGUCUUUAGGGACGAAGAAGUGACGGUACCUAAGGAGGAAGCCACGGCUAACUACGUGCCAGCAGCCGCAGUAAGAC